rnacentral:rRNA from 1 species
UACGGAGGGUGCAAGCGUUGUUCGGAAUUAUUGGGCGUAAAGCGCGUGUAGGCGGUUUUUUAAGUCUGAUGUGAAAGCCCCGGGCUCAACCUGGGAAGUGCAUUGGAUACUGGAAGACUUGAGUACGGGAGAGGGUAGUGGAAUUCCUAGUGUAGGAGUGAAAUUCGUAGAUAUUCGGAGGAACACCGGUGGCGAAGGCGGCUUCCUGGCAUGUAACUGACACUCAUGUUCGAAAGCGUGGGUAGCAAACAGGAUUAGAAACCCCGGUAGU